UUCAACACAUCCCCAUAGACUGGGAUCCCCAUAGACUGGGGCCGCUGGGGCUGGGGUCUGUCUUUGCAGACGUGCCAGGCCACAUGCCCCACCCACCUCUACCAGCUUCGCCGCCUCUGAAGUUCCUCCAGUGGCACUGACGAGGGGCCCUGUGGUGGAGGGUGCAGCUAAAUGAGGCCUGACCAGGUGGUUGAGCUCAGCUUGGCUGUCCUUGUCUUCCUUGGACCUGCUGGGCAGCCCCAGGUAAACCACUGCCUGCCUGGACCCCAGCACCCCCUCUGCAAAGUGGGGCAGAGACAGCAGGGUGUGGCAGCCAUGAGCAUGGGCUUGGAGUCCGACACCCCUGCUCCCAGCUUUGACCUAAGCAGGUGGUCAGGCCUCUCCAUGCCUCAGGUUGUAUCUAUCCAGCAGGGACGACACAAGCACCUACCUCACGGAGGUUGUGGGCUGUAGAGCCAUCUCCAAGGUGGCAAUCUGUGAGUCCCAUGAGGUCAAGGUGGCAGAAAGUGGCACCACUCAGCUCCCAGAGCAAGGCGCAGCAAGCAGGGAGCUGCACCUGCCUCAAACCUAAGGUCUUAUGUGGGACUAUCUUCAGAGCCCCUCUCCACCUCCUGGAGUGGGGCAGAGGCUGCUCCUGCCACCGACACCGAGAACCAUCAGGGCUAAGGCGGAAUCAGAACACAGAAUACACUACAGCAAUGAGAGUGGCGAGUCACUGCUGCUACACACAGCCCUGUGGAGGAUUCUCACAGAUGCAACGCUGAACGAGAGGCCAGGCACCAAUGGCACAGGUGGGACUGAGGAGUCCCAACCCAGGGCAGGAAGGGCACAGGAAUAUUGUUCUGUUUGUAGAUCACCUGCUAGUUACCCAGCUGCAUUCAUGUUUGAUAAUGUAUUGAGGAAUAUUUUUAUGAUUGAUGCACUUUCCCAUAUGCAUGUUAUACUUCAAAAACAAGUUUUCAUAAAAAAGAAAAAGAAAUGAAAGAAAAGAGAAAAACAAUAUCAACGCUCUCUGCUGUUCCCUCCUGUCCUCCCAUGCCCUUGCCCUGUGCAGGCCAGCACCACCGCCCCGGCCCUGGUAUUCCCCUCACGUGCCCACCUCCCCACACCUCCCACUUCCACUCCAAAUUAGAGUU